rnacentral:rRNA from 1 species
UACAGAGGUCCCGAGCGUUGUUCGGAUUCACUGGGCGUAAAGGGUGCGUAGGUGGCUGGGAAAGUUUGAUGUGAAAGCUCAGGGCUUAACCCUGAAAUGGCAUUGAAUACUGCCUGGCUGGAGGUUUGGAGGGGGACUGGAAUUCUUGGUGGUAGCAGUGAAAUGCGUAGAGAUCAUGAGGAAGACCAGUGGCGAAGGCGGGUCUCUGGACAGUUCCUGACACUGAGGCACGAAGGCCAGGGGAGCAAACGGG